rnacentral:rRNA from 1 species
AUUGAACGCUGGCGGCAUGCUUUACACAUGCAAGUCGAACGGCAGCGCGGGCUUCGGCCUGGCGGCGAGUGGCGAACGGGUGAGUAAUGCAUCGGAACGUGCCCAGUAGUGGGGGAUAGCCCGGCGAAAGCCGGAUUAAUACCGCAUACGACCUGAGGGUGAAAGCGGGGGACCGAAAGGCCUCGCGCUAUUGGAGCGGCCGAUGUCGGAUUAGCUAGUUGGUGGGGUAAAGGCUUACCAAGGCGACGAUCCGUAGCUGGUCUGAGAGGACGACCAGCCACACUGGGACUGAUACACGGCCCAGACUCCUACGGGAGGCAGCAGUGGGGAAUUUUGGACAAUGGGGGCAACCCUAAUCCAGCCAUGCCGCGUGCGGGAAGAAGGCCUUCGGGUUGUAAACCGCUUUUGUUCGGGAAGAAAUCCUCUGGGCUAAUACCCCGGGGGGAUGACGGUACCGGAAGAAUAAGCACCGGCUAACUACGUG